GUAGGGAAUCUUGCGCAAUGGGCGAAAGCCUGACGCAGCCAUGCCGCGUGAAUGAUGAAGGUCUUAGGAUUGUAAAAUUCUUUCACCGGGGACGAUAAUGACGGUACCCGGAGAAGAAGCCCCGGCUAACUUCGUGCCAGCAGCCGCGGUAAUACGAAGGGGGCUAGCGUUGCUCGGAAUUACUGGGCGUAAAGGGAGCGUAGGCGGAUAGUUUAGUCAGAGGUGAAAGCCCAGGGCUCAACCUGGGAAUUGCCUUGGAUACUGGCUGUCUGUAGUACGGGAGAGGGGAGUGGAACUCCGGGUGUAGAGGUGAAAUUCGUAGAUAUUCGGAAGAACACCAGUGGCGAAGGCGACUCACUGGCCCGUUACUGACGCUGAGGCGCGAAAGCGUGGGGAGCAAACAGGAUUAGAUACCCGUGUAGUCC
rnacentral:rRNA from 1 species